AUAUCUGCGUUUUUGUAGUAGAAGGAGCACAAGUGUAUUCAUCGGAUAACAUCUUGUGGUAAAUGCAUUGUUUAGUUAGGUGAAUUUGUCUUUUUUAGAUAGCGCAAAUCGAGUAGUUUGCACUUUACAUAAUUUUGUUCUCGUAAUGAUGGCAGAUACUGAAAACGGCGAACAAGAAAGUUUUAACAUGGACUCGUCGGUAGAUGCUAUAGGAGUUACGGGAAAUGAUGAAUCGGUUGAAGAUCCUGAAUUAGAAGCUAUUAAAGCAAGAGUAAGAGAGAUGGAGGAAGAAGCAGAAAAAUUAAAAGAGUUGCAGAGUGAGGUAGAAAAACAGAUGAAUAUUAGUGCUGCAACACCAAAUUUUCCUACGUUUGAAGAGAAAAUGGAAGCUGACCAGCGAUCUAUAUUUGUUGGUAAUGUUGAUUAUGGUGCCACUGCUGAAGAACUAGAACAACAUUUUCAUGGUUGUGGUUCAGUUAACAGAGUAACUAUCUUGUGUGACAAAUACAGUGGACACCCAAAAGGGUUUGCAUACGUGGAAUUUGCUGAUAAAGACUCAGUAGGAACUGCUAUGGCUUUAGAUGAGUCCCUCUUUAGAGCAAGACAAAUCAAGGUAAUGGCUAAGAGAACUAAUAGGCCUGGUAUCAGCACUACAAACCGUGGCAGAGGGCGUUCCCGACGAGGGAGUUAUUUCAGAGGUGGCAUGGGAUCUGGAUAUUAUCCUUAUGCACCAAGAUCUAGACCUAGAUACAGAUAAAGAUUAUACAUACACCAUCUUUCAAAGUGAAGCUUCAGGCAGGAUUGUACCAUGUGAAUCUCCACAGUUUAUGGCAACUGUCAUUUUGUUUCCAAGGCACCCACAGCAUCCAGUCGCUUCCGGAGGUCGCUUUGGUACCAGCCUUACUGAGCACUCUUUACUUGGAGGAUUUCCAUUGUAUUAAAGAAAGUUUCAAGGAGAUUACAUUUCAUCUGCCACGCUUUUUAAUUUUUUUUUUCCAUCUCCUAACAGGCAACUAGUUGAUCCUUCAACUCAGCUGGCCUAUUUUAUAUUUUUGCAGAAUUUUUAGAAUUUUUCCUCCCAUUUGGAUAACUCUAGGUCAGUGUGUGAGUGCUUGUCAUGGAAGUGUCUGGAGUUUGUAUCUUGAUUAAAGAAAUAGUUUUUUUUUCUACUGGGGAAAAUAUUUUAUGCUCUUUCAGCUGAGUCAGUUCUAUAAUUUUCGAGUUUUGUUCAAGUCAAACAGUAUGUUUGAACAGAUUUUGCACUAGCUUACUUUUUGUUGUGUAUGUAUAUGAGUGUAUUUAUUUAUAUAUGUACAUACACACAAACAUUCAUUAAUUACUACCGGUUAAGUUUAAAUUGUCUUAAUUAUAUAUUUAAAUUAUUAGCUGAGAUUUUCCUUCAUGUGCAGUUUUCAGUCAAGUGAUUUCUUCUAUCUCUGCUACUAUAACAGUUCCUGUUUAUUACUUAGGUUCAACUGACUGGUUGAUUAGCAGAAAACCUUUGUUUCAGUUGCUUAGGCCACUCCUGUUCCACUGUUUUUCAUCAUAUUUAAGUGAUUUGGGAAGAAUAGUUUUUAAAAAAUUUUGAAAAAAAAAAAACCGUCAUGUUGUGCUAAUUUGCAAGAGUCAAAAGUGCAGUCAACUUGUUCGAGCAAGUAUGUCUUUCUAAGUUGCUAUUAAGGUAUUCAUGAAUUUUUUUGUCUUUUCACAAAAAAUAUAUU
rnacentral:misc_RNA from 1 species